UCUCUUUCAGUUUUCUGGUUUCUCCCGUGUCUCACUCUCACACAUUACCCACUUCCCUUCCCGAUUUCAUCUCUUCCUUUUCGUUGGGUCUGUUCGUGAGUCCGAAUGUAUGCCCUAGCAUUUUCUCAAUUUUCUUUUUCCUCACUUUUGGUUUUUCCCUCAAAAUAGGUUUCUCACUCUGUCGCAUCCCUCCACUGCUGCAAAUCACUGUGCUUCUCUCUCUCGCAUCCCUCUAUUGCUGCAGAUUAGUGCGUCUCUGUCUCUCGCGUCCCUCUUUUGCUCAAUAUUUGUUGGAGCUGCAGUUUUGGGUGGAACAAAAUUUCAGUCUUGGUUGCCGAGAGCUUCUCCAGUGGAUUUUCUUUCCCGUGCGUCUUGUGUUUGUCGUAGUGCAGUGAGUACGUCAUUCUACUCGGUUUCUCAUAAACGUUGAGUCUUCAACCAUGAUGUGGAGAGUCCAACUGAGGACCUGGAUUAGAAUGGUGAGCAUGAUUAAGCUGAGAAGAGGAUGUUAAAAGAAGGAAUGCUGAUGUCCUUUAGAUUUGAAGUCUUUAGAUUUAAUUAUAUCUUGGGUUUAGUAAGACUUAUGAAAUUAUCAAUUUGGUUGGUUAUGACUACUGGGAGAUUUUGAGCCCCUAAGUUUAUUUUUGUUGCGAUAACGACCUUGUGGAUUUUUCGAAGUGUUUAUUUAGAAUAUAUGAGAUUGAGCUUUGAUUAUAAAGUUUUGGAGAUUUAUUUUAGUUGUA